UCCUCUUUACAGAGGCAGUUUGUUUCGAGUUCCCGGCAUUACCCGCUGGCAACAAAACAUGAGGGUUGCGCUCGUUGCGGGACUUAACCCAACAUUUCACAACACGAGCUGACGACAGCCAUGCACCACCUGUGUAUCACCUUCGAAAGCGACUGCUUUUCGGCAGCUUGCAGAUACAUGUCAAGCCCUGGUAAGGUUCUUCGCGUUGCAUCGAAUUAAGCCAUAUGCUCCACCGCUUGUGCGGGCCCCCGCCAAUUCCUUUGAGUUUUAAUCUUGCGAUCGUAGUUCCCAGGCGGUUCACUUAAUGCGUUAGCUGCGGCACCGAGGCAAAGCCCCAACACCUAGUGAACAUCGUUUACAGCGUGGACUAC
rnacentral:misc_RNA from 1 species